rnacentral:rRNA from 1 species
AGAUAGAAACUGACCUGGCUCACGCCGGUC